CGGACGGGGUGAGUAAUGUCUGGGAAACUGCCUGAUGGAGGGGGAUAACUACUGGAAACGGUAGCUAAUACCGCAUAACGUCGCAAGACCAAAGAGGGGGACCUCCGGGCCUCUUGCCAUCGGAUGUGCCCAGAUGGGAUUAGCUAGUAGGUGGGGUAAUGGCUCACCUAGGCGACGAUCCCUAGCUGGUCUGAGAGGAUGACCAGCCACACUGGAACUGAGACACGGUCCAG
rnacentral:rRNA from 1 species